rnacentral:tRNA from 1 species
GGGGUCGUGGCGUAACUUGGUAGCGCGGCAGGCUCCAGAUUCCCCGCAAGGGGCAGAAUAAACCUGCAUGUUAGGGUUCAAAUCCCUACGAUCCCA